AUUGAACGCUGGGGGCAGGCUUAACACAUGCAAGUCGAGCGGGGUGAUGGUGCUUGCACUAUCACUUAGCGGCGGACGGGUGAGUAAUGCUUAGGAAUCUGCCUAUUAGUGGGGGACAACAUCUCGAAAGGGAUGCUAAUACCGCAUACGUCCUACGGGAGAAAGCAGGGGAUCACUUGUGACCUUGCGCUAAUAGAUGAGCCUAAGUCGGAUUAGCUAGUUGGUGGGGUAAAGGCCUACCAAGGCGACGAUCUGUAGCGGGUCUGAGAGGAUGAUCCGCCACACUGGGGCUGAGACACGGCCCAGACUCCUACGGGAGGUAGCAGUGGGGAAUAUUGGACAAUGGGCGCAAGCCUGAUCCAGCCAUGCCGCGUGUGUGAAGAAGGCCUUAUGGUUGUAAAGCACUUUAAGCGAGGAGGAGGCUACUUUAGUUAAUACCUAGAGAUAGUGGACGUUACUCGCAGAAUAAGCACCGGCUAACUCUGUGCCAGCCGCCGCGGUAA
rnacentral:rRNA from 1 species